UUAAGGAAAAAAAUAAACUUUACGGAUAUAAAAUGUUGUCUUGAAGCAAUUGGAACAAGUAAAAUGUUAGUGUAAUUUUGGAUGCAUAUGGCUCGCUGUAAAAAAAUCUUGGACAUCCGAUGCUCCAAUAGAAAUAUAACGAAUUGAGAAAGAAGAAAGAGAAAAUAACAUUCAAAAUGACCACCGUUUGAGUAAAAUAGGGUAUCUGAAAGUAUUUUGGAGGGAAAGAAUAUUUUGAUCAGUUUUAAAUUUUCAAAAUUAAGUCCAACUACAUUAAAUUUUUGCAGCAUUGAAAAAUCUGACAACUAGAGUAAAAUCCCUAUUUCCACUUUAAACUUAAAAGAAACUCCCCCUUCCAAUUUAAAAUAAAAGCUACUCCCAGUUUGAAACUUAAAUUAAAAGGAGCUACCCAAAUACGCUAAAAUUAUCAAAUUAUCCUUUUGAUACUUAAAUGGGCACAAACUCUUUUCUCCCUUGCCCUGGUCAUCCAACGUCCAUCGCACGCCCCCCAGACUUUCAACGAGAUCGCAUGCCUCCCUGCUUCGCCGCUCGUCUUCGAUCAUUGAUUCUCUCAAGUUGGUCUACUCUCUUUCAUCCUUACUCUGCUCCCUCGAUCCCCUCACAUUGUUGUUCUCCCCACUGGUGGCCGCCUCCCUCUAUCUUGCUGAUCUUCUGUCGGUUGCCGUCUCCUUCCAUCACGUCGAAGAAGCAUAGUCUUCACUCUCUUGUUGGUACUUCUGUCUUCCUCCAUUACGUCAGAACAAUGUCCACGCCCGGAGGUCGGUGCAAGAAAUUUCAACCGGUAAGCAUUGCCCCCCAAGUUGAAAUUUUAGAAAUAGUUUAAUUCAAAUUUUUAUUGUUUAUGAUUGAAUGAGAAAUAAUUCAAAUUGCAUAUUCAAUGAUGCCUAAUUGAUGCAAGUGAAAGGCAAUUUAUACUUCGUUGUGCAUAAUUUAUACACCGAUCUGCAUAUUUAGUAUUUUCAUACUGUUUCAGGACUUAGGAUCCUUAAAUAAAAAAAGAGAGUUAUCUUUUUUGCUAAAUAUUUUCUUAUAUAUUACAUGUAAUGCCAAGACCUCUACUGCAUUGUGCUACAGGUUCAAACUAAAUGUAAGAGGGCUGAUUUAUUUAGCGGGAGGUUGGAGAGUAGAUGCUCUCCAAGUUCAUUGUACAGAAUGUUGAAUGCUAAAGAGAAAGGGAAGAAGAGUAUAAAGGAGUCAAUCUCAGAUGCACAAAUGGAGCUUCUACAAAAAACACCAUUUGCACACUUCCUUGAUAUACCAAAGUUAUCUACUAGUCCAAAUUGGUUGCGUGUGCUCAUCAAGCUGUUCGAUGAGCAAAGAAGUAUAUUCAUUGUCAGCAACGGCUUAGAGCUAAAACUUGAAAAGGAUGAGCUCGCCACAAUGCUUGGCCUCCCUCUCACCGGCCUACCAGUAGAACUUGACGAGGAGGGGGCACUCCCAAAAGAAUGUUGCCAUAGUAGAUGCUAGUAUGGCUCAAGAUAGUAGGGAUCUUAUUUGGAAGGAGGAUACCACAUAUGGUUCUAUAUGGGCUGAAGACUUGAGCCUACGUAAAUUAUUAUCUUCAAAGAUAAUAUUUAAUGAUAUAAUUAAUUAUUAGAUGCGUAUAAUAGAAAUCUUGCCCAAUGAAGAAAGCUCCAAUAGAUAAUGCAACAUCUCCUACCUACGCAUGGAGUCUAUGCAUGAGAUGUUAAACUAUUUCUGGAGACUAGGUGAACAUCCAGAUAAAGGUGCUAUGGAAAAAAUCAUAGGGGGCAUGAGAAACACCACGCGUUUAUCUUUUAAUCAUAUUUCUCUUUACAUUCUUGCCACAUGUCGCUACAUAAUGCUUCCACUCAACACCACUGAUAAGUGAUACUGGCACCUUUUGGUAUUUGAUACCAUACGUAGAAAAUUUUUGUAUUAUGACUCUAUAAAAAGUUCAAUAGCAAAAAAAAACUGUCGAAACUAUUGUAAGUAUAAAAUGUCAAUUUCAUUAAUCAGUCUUUGAUGUUUAUGGCAAUUUUGAUAAGUGGCACUGGCAUCUUUUGAUA